rnacentral:rRNA from 1 species
CACGUAGGGCGCAAGCGUUGUCCGGAAUUAUUGGGCGUAAAGAGCUCGUAGGCGGUCUGUUGCGUCCGCUGUGAAAACUCGGGGCUUAACCCCGAGCCUGCAGUGGAUACGGGCAGACUGGAGUACUGCAGGGGAGACUGGAAUUCCUGGUGUAGCGGUGGAAUGCGCAGAUAUCAGGAGGAACACCGGUGGCGAAGGCGGCGACCUGGUCCUUGACUGACGCUGAGGCGCGAAAGCGUGGGGAGCAAACAGG